CGGCCCUGCCCCAGGGUCAGCCCCCGGCGCGGCUGCAGGCGUGGCCACCGGGUAUCGCCGGGGCCCUGGAGAGCUGAGUACCUGGUUUCCGGCCCGGGGUGUGCCCCUCCGUCCGCCCUAAACCCUGUCCGGUCGCAAGGGGUGUUCCUCGGAUCCCGGAGACACAGGCUCAGAGCUUGACAGGCCUGGGAGAGGUGGCCUGACUCACCAAGCCCGCUCAGUCUCUCCAAGUACCCGGGUUCAAAGGCUUCGCCCAGCAAUGCGCUGCCGCAGACUGGCCCUGGGCCUAGGAUUCUGCCUGCUGUUGGGCAUUGUCCUCUUUUUUCUGCGGAUGUCUGUGGAGAACUGGCUGCCCUUCUCCUAUGUCCCGUAUUACCUCCCCUGCCCAGAGAUCUUGUAAGUAUGGGGUGGGGAGAAUUUGGGCCCUGUGGGCUGCCUGGAGUGGGGACACUGGGUGAGUUUUAGGGUCACUUUGCAGGUUAUUAGGUCCUAAGCUCAUGAUUCUGAUCAGUUUGGUAAGUGUCGGGUAAUUUAUGGGCUGUGGAGUAAAAUGUCCAUGUCAGUCCUCUGGCGUCCCUGCAGCGCCCCCUCUGUGCUUUGACCUUGAGCAUGCCGCAGGGCUCUGAGCCUCACUUUUUCAUCUGUAAAAUGGGAUGAUGGAAGUCCCCUCCUGGGCCACCUGGAGCAUGGAGUGUGAUGACACCUGUAAAGAGUCAUCUGUAGCACACACCACACAGCAGGUGCUCAGGAAAUAGUUGGACUUGACUUUUUGCUAAAUUUUGUGUUCAGUGUGGAUUCAAGGAACAAAUUAACAUGGGACCAGACUUCCCCCCCAUAACGAACCUGACUUCUUGACAGUUAAGAGUGAAAAAAUGGGCUGGGACAGUCUUAAGUGGGGGAGGUAUCCUUGUGAUAGCUAGAGGCAAGUUUAAAAUCUGGUUCAUAGACUGCUAAUUAACCACAAGGCAUGUUUCACUGUUAUAAACAUAGAAUAUAGUCAGUUAGGAAGCUGGAAAGCAGAAAAGACAAGGAAAAAUACCCUCUUGCGUCCUACUGGUUUGAGUUAUACUUUGCUUCCAAAGUUCACGGUCAACUUGUUGGUUGCUGCCCUUUCUAGUUGAACCGACUGUGCAUCUUACUUGGUUCUAAAAGCAGAAAGGAUGCUUGCUAUUGAAAAUAGUUGUGAUCGGGGCGCCUGGGUGGCUCAGUCGGUUAAGCGGCUGCCUUCGGCUCAGGUCAUGAUCCUGGGGUCC